rnacentral:rRNA from 1 species
GUGCCCAGAUGGGAUUAGCUAGUUGGUGGGGUAACGGCUCACCAAGGCGACGAUCCGUAGCUGGUUUGAGAGGAUGACCAGCCACACUGGAACUGAGACACGGUCCAGACUCCUACGGGAGGCAGCAGUGGGGAAUAUUGCACAAUGGGGGCAAGCCUGAUGCAGCCAUCCCGCGUGUAUGAAGAAGGCCUUCGGGUUGUAAAGUACUUUCAGCGGGGAGGAAGGGAGUAAAGUUAAUACCUUUGCUCAUUGACGUUAUCCGCAGAAGAAGCACCGGCUAACUCCGUGCCAGCAGCCGCGGUAAUACGGAGGGUGCAAGCGUUAAUCGGAAUUACUGGGCGUAAAGCGCACGCAGGCGGUUUGGUAAGUCAGAUGUGAAAUCCCCGGGCUCAACCUGGGAACUGCAUUUGAUACUGGCAAGCU